AACAUCGCGCACCUGCGGGAACCUGCGGAAGGAUCAUUACCGAGUGCGGGUCCCCUCGCGGGGCCCAACCUCCCACCCGUGUCUACCGUCACCUGUUGCUUCGGCGGGCCCGCCUUCGUGCCGCCGGGGGGCCCUCUGCGCCCCCGGGCCCGCGCCCGCCGAAGACUCUAGGAACACUGAAUGAAGGAAGCCGUCUGAGUCAAACGACACAAUCGUUAAAACUUUCAACAAUGGAUCUCA
rnacentral:misc_RNA from 1 species